rnacentral:lncRNA from 1 species
CCGGACUGCCCAUCAACCCAAAGUCCCCCAAGUACACCUUUCCCUUUUGCCGUCUGACGAGCGAGCCCUCACGACAUUCUCAAUCUUUCUCUAUAAAUCGCGUCUUGUCUCUACAGCCCACUGAUUUCUCUCUCUAUCUACAAAAUCCACUCCCGAUUUUUCUGUCUAAAUCGAAGGAUUUUAAGGUAUAUCUGCUCUCUCUUUCUUUUCUUUUUUAUUCAUAUAUGUUGCGUACGUGGGUGAUUUGUCUUGUACGGUUUUCUUUUUAAAUCGUUUAAUUGGUGUGGGUUGUUUGUUGGAUCUGAAAUUUUGAAAUGGAAUUUGUUAGGUUUUGAUCGGAAAUUUGAAGCCAUACAAAUGAAAUUAAGCAUUGACAAUUAGGGCUCAGACAUAAUUCGUGGUUAUCCAGGAUUUUCGAGGCUUAAAUUGGAUGAGUCUAGGGUUUUGCAGACUUAUAAUUGAAGAAAUCUGUUUUUUAUUUAUCAGCGAAUUGAAGGACUAGCGGGCAAUUUAAUUAUUCGUUAGGGAUACUGGGUAAUUUAGAAGAUUUGAGGGAGUUCAGAUAUUAUUGAGUAGAAAAAUUAAGGAGUGCUAUGAAGGUGAGAUUUGAGCGGGGAUUGGAGUAAUUUGAUGUUUGAAGUUGGGGUAUUGGGUGUUGAGAAAUAUUGGGAAAAUGCAAAAAGACAAUCUUUAUUAUGCAUGGGACGGUUCAGCGGGAAGGCGAGAGCAAUAGGAACCUACAGAGGAGUAUUAGUCAGCACAUGCGGUCGGUCACACCACUGACCACGAGCAACAGAACUAUAGCUGCAGCUGGUGAUAAUCCAUCAGUUACUUCUUCUACCACCACCACAACCUCCACAGCCAGUGAUUCAUUUUUCAAGGUAAUUUCUUGUUGGAUUUUACGUAUUCCAUCUUUUUUGUAGUUUGGAUUUUGUAUGCCAUUGUUAUUGUCUCGUAGCAAAAUUGAAUU